rnacentral:tRNA from 1 species
GCCAGCUUAGCUCAGUUGGUAGAGCAACGCACUCGUAACGCGUAGGUCGUAGGUUCGAUCCCUAUAGCUGGCAUAA